AUGCUGUGGUGCGGCGGUGGUCAAGGUAUAUCCGGCGGCAUUGGUCGGUGGGAUCGACUUUGUUCGAGCCAUAUAUGGUCCAUUCCCUGAUAUUCCUCUCUUGCCCAC
rnacentral:ribozyme from 1 species